rnacentral:rRNA from 1 species
AUUGAACGCUGGCGGCAUGCCUUACACAUGCAAGUCGAACGGCAGCACGGGGGCAACCCUGGUGGCGAGUGGCGGACGGGUGAGUAAUGCAUCGGAACGUGCCCUGAAGUGGGGGAUAACGCAGCGAAAGCUACGCUAAUACCGCAUAUUCUGUGAGCAGGAAAGCAGGGGAUCGCAAGACCUUGCGCUUUGGGAGCGGCCGAUGUCGGAUUAGCUAGUUGGUGGGGUAAAGGCCUACCAAGGCGACGAUCCGUAGCGGGUCUGAGAGGAUGAUCCGCCACACUGGGACUGAGACACGGCCCAGACUCCUACGGGAGGCAGCAGUGGGGAAUUUUGGACAAUGGGGCGAAAGCCUGAUCCAGCCAUGCCGCGUGAGUGAAGAAGGCC